rnacentral:rRNA from 1 species
GGGCCCGCACAAGCGGUGGAGCAUGUGGUUUAAUUCGAAGCAACGCGAAGAACCUUACCAUCCCUUGACAUCCAGAGAAGUUACCAGAGAUGGUUUCGUGCCUUCGGGAACUCUGAGACAGGUGCUGCAUGGCUGUCGUCAGCUCGUGUUGUGAAAUGUUGGGUUAAGUCCCGCAACGAGCGCAACCCUUAUCCUCAGUUGCCAGCACUUCGGGUGGGAACUCUGUGGAGACUGCCGGUGACAAACCGGAGGAAGGUGGGACGACGUCAAGUCAUCAUGGCCCUUACGGGAUGGGCUACACACGUGCUACAAUGGUACGUACAGAGGGAAGCCAGCGCGCGAGCGUGAGCGGA